UACAGAGGGUGCAAGCGUUAAUCGGAAUUACUGGGCGUAAAGCGUGCGCAGUCGGUUAUUUAAGUCGGAUGUGAAAUCCCCGGGCUCAACCUGGGAAUUGCAUUCGAUACUGGAUGGCUAGAGUUCGGCAGAGGGAAGUGGAAUUUCAGGUGUAGCGGUGAAAUGCGUAGAUAUCUGAAGGAACAUCAGUGGCGAAAGCGACUUCUUGGACCAGAACUGACGAUCAGGCACGAAAGCGUGGGGAGCAAACAGG
rnacentral:rRNA from 1 species